rnacentral:lncRNA from 1 species
CUAGGUCAUUUUUACACUCAUUCACACAUUGCAAAACAUUUUGGAGGAAGAGGUAGAAAGAAAAAGUGAGGCAAUAAGGGUUAGAAGAAGAUCUAGACAGGGAAAGCUUAGAUUGGAGCUUUGGAGCAAAAUUGAGGCUAGAAUUAUAAUUCUUGAAGGUUUAAGGUAAGGGGGAUAGUGCUCUUUCGUGAAUAAGCUAUAAUAUAUUUUUCUACUUAAUUGAAUAAGUGCUAAUUUAUGAGUAGUGAUUAUUUUUGUGAAAUUUUAAGGAAGCAACACCGUUCCAAAUUCACAUUUUACACAAAAG